rnacentral:rRNA from 1 species
CCUACGGGAGGCAGCAGUGAGGAAUAUUGGUCAAUGGACGGAAGCCUGAACCAGCCAUGCCGCGUGCAGGAAGACGGCUCUAUGAGUUGUAAACUGCUUUUGUACAAGGGUAAACCUGAAUACGUGUAUUUAGCUGCAAGUACUGUAUGAAUAAGGAUCGGCUAACUCCGUGCCAGCAGCCGCGGUAAUACGGAGGAUCCAAGCGUUAUCCGGAUUUAUUGGGUUUAAAGGGUGCGUAGGCGGUUUGAUAAGUUAGAGGUGAAAUGUCCGGGCUUAACUCGGGAACUGCCUCUAAUACUGUUGAACUGGAGAGUAGAUGCGGUAGGCGGAAUGUAUGGUGUAGCGGUGAAAUGCUUAGAGAUCAUACAGAACACCGAUUGCGAAGGCAGCUUACCAAUCUAUAUCUGACGUUGAGGCACGAAAGCGUGGGGAGCAAACAGGAUUAGAUACCCGUGUAGUC